rnacentral:rRNA from 1 species
GAUGAACGCUGGCGGCAUGCUUAAUACAUGCAAGUCGGACGGGCAGUGGUGUUUCUAGUUGCGGACGGGUGAGCAACGCGUAAGAAACUGCCCUUGGGAGGGGCACAACAGCAGGAAACGGCAGCUAAUACCCCGUAGGCUGAGGAGCGAAUGGAGGACUGAGCCUGAGGGGGGGCUCGCGUCUGAUUAACUAGUUGGUGAGUCAAUAGCUUACCAAGGCGAUGGUCAGUAGCUGUUCGGAGAGGAUGAUCAGCCACACUGCGACUGAGCCACGGAGCAGGCUCCUACCGGAAGCAGGAGUAGGGAAUACGCCGCAAUGCGGGGAAGGCUGAGAGGGCAUUGGGGCGUGGAGAUAGAAGGACUAGGGAUCGUGAACUUCUUUAGCAGGAGAACAAGCAAUGACGGUAUCUGAGGAGUAAGCAUCGGCUAACUAUGUG